GCAAACUUGGUCAUUUAGAGGAAGUAAAAGUCGUAACAAGGUUUCCGUAGGUGAACCUGCGGAAGGAUCAUUAUUGAAUUAAGAUCGAGUGUUGAUGCUGGCGCGUUUCGCAAGAGACGUGCAUGUGCUCGCAUUCAUUUUAUUUCUUCCCCUUCUUUGUGCACCUUUGUUUGGUUUUGAGUUUCAAAAGUGAAUCCGUCACGGGGAAUGGAGCAUUCAUUUGCUUCGUUCUCAAGUGGUCUGCGGCGUUGAGUGCGUUUGACUUUGCAAAACAAGUCUCACUCUGAUUGACUCUGAAAUAUGAGACUCGCUGCUCCUCAUUAGUAGAGCUUGAAACCAUUCUUAUACACCUUUAUUUGUAUGUUAUAGAAUGUUAUCUUUGUUGGCGCAAGCCGAUAAAACCAAAUACAACUUUGAGCAACGGAUCUCUUGGCUCUCCCAUCGAUGAAGAACGCAGC
rnacentral:misc_RNA from 1 species